rnacentral:rRNA from 1 species
UACGUAGGGUGCAAGCGUUGUUCGGAAUUACUGGGCGUAAAGAGCGCGUAGGCGGGCGUGUAAGUUGUCUGUGAAAUCCCUGAGCUUAACUUAGGAAUGUCAGACAAUACUGCAUGUCUUGAGUGUUUGAGAGGAUGGCAGAAUUCCAGGUGUAGAGGUGAAAUUCGUAGAUAUCUGGAAGAACACCGGAGGCGAAGGCGGCUGUCUGGCAAACAACUGACGCUAAGGCGCGAAAGCGUGGGGAGCAAACAG